CACCCUCACACCCACACUCCCACUCUGCUACCGCCUCAUCCAGCUCCUCUCCUCCUGCAAGCUCCUGUAUCCAUCUCAGCUGCAGCUCGAAGCUCGGCCAGGAUGAGCAAGCCAUCGAGGUGCAGGGCGCUGCAGAUGCAGGUCGCCCUGCUCCUCGUCUUGCUCCUCGCGCGCGGGCAAGUGCGCGGUGCGGUGCGCGCGGUCGCGCGCGAAGCGGGGGGCGUGCAUGAAGUACUGCGGGCUGUGCUGCGAGGAGUGCGCCUGCGUGCCCACGGGGAGGAGCGGCAGCCGCGUCGAGUGCCCCUGCUACCGCGACAUGCUCACCGCCGGGCCCAGGAAGAGGCCCAAGUGCCCCUGACCACCGCCCUCUCCUCGGCCCACCGUCUCUCUCAACGCGCCAACGGCUUCUUCAACCUCCACCCUACCGUCAGGAGUAGUAGCCUAGCUACUGUACGUAUGUGAUGUUGGACGCGCGUGCUUAUGUCACUUCCCUGUGCUCGCUCGUGCUAAUUAUUGGUGUGAUGCGUAUUGUCGCCUGCUAAAGUGCUACGUAUGUGUUGUCGUUGUAGUACCACGAUCGACUUGUAGAAGUACUGUGCUACUAGCUGGGAUCGUCGAGUGAGUGAGCUUGCUGGCUGUAAAUCAACAAGUGUGUGGCUACCUGUGUACUCUACGUGGUUGUAGUACGUAGCUAAUUGUUCUCCGUGUGUCUAGCUGAACUGAAGCAGUGUGGCUAGCUGAGGCCUCCGGGCCAUGUAUGUAUGUAUGCCAAUGCCACGUAGCAUGCGCACCGAGCUUACAAGUAGCAAUGGUAAUCAUCAUGUCGCCGUCUUUGUAAGUGCCAUUGUACAUAUGAAUAUGAGGGUAUCA
rnacentral:lncRNA from 1 species